AGCACUUGGCCCUAAUUUCAGUCUAGUUUUCAUUAGAAACAUCUGUCAGCUCUGGUUAUUGCCUUUGAAAUUCAGAUCAUCCAGGGCAGUGGCAAUUAACAAAAGAAAGUGAUCCUCACCUGUCAGUCCUCCUGUAAACCACUUAGCGUCCUCUCUUCUGGAAACCACCACUAAUGAAAACAAGAACAAUGACAACUCUGUUAACUUUGGUGAUGAUAUGAAGAUAGCCAUAUUUUUAAAAUAAGAGGUCUGUCAACACUAGGAUCACUGGGGAGAUAUAAAUACCCUGGUACUCUUGAAGGCUGCCUCUUACAAUGAAAUCACAUGGCCUUUUACAUGAAAGUGAGAGGAUUCCUGAUUCAGGACCAUCUUCUGCUGAAAAAGAAAGAAGAAGAAAAAAAUCCACCAGGUUAUGUUAUUUGCAUAUCUCUUGGUCCCUAUUGAAAUAGACUGAGAUUACCAGUACUUGUCCAGUGUCAACAAUGAAUUCUUUGCAGAGAGCUGGGA